UGAGACAGCCGUAGAGAAGAGAGCGCUGAACGGCUUCGCUCCUCCUUCCCCCGUCUCCUCCUCCCAGCUCCUCUCGAAGAGUCUGACACAAAAAAGUGAAGCUGCCAACAUGUGGUGCAGUAUGGAGCUGACAUCUUGCGCUGAUUUGGGACUCGAGUCUGUGCAGUAGUGAGCAAGAAAUGGAGGCACAAUAUCAAGGCCCCGCCCACACUCCCGCAGAAUCGGGGGUCUGUCAGUGCUUGACAAUGCAGACCAGGAGGGUAAAAUUCCCCAUUGUGCAGCUCUUUUGCUGUCUCUUUCUCUUUCUCAGUUAGAGGCAGCGCUUGUUAUAAGAGUAGAGUGACUGCCAGAUUGUGUCGCGCCAACUUUCCAGCUCAUGGGAUCCUGUGAACGAGUUUUUAUCUCCCCCAAACAGACACAUCCGACUGCCUCCUGAGGGCUUUUAUGAAGAGAUAAUUCAAUGAAACAUCUCCAUUAAGUCUCCUGAGCUACAGCAAUGCCAUUUUCCUCUGGGUUACCUGUCCUUUUUUAAUCGUGUGAGAGCUGCUAUUGGCUGAGCGGGAGAUAUUGAUCUGCACUCAUAUCUCUAUAGAACUGGACUGAGCAUCAUCCCUCUUUUAAAAGGUUCAUUCACAGGCCACAUCUGCAAAGCGUCUCAGCCUGCAUCUGCGGCAAACGUCGUCCUUUGUGGAGUCCGAUGGAGCGAAUGCAGAUAGAUUAGCCCAUUCCUACCCAUCUAGGUUUGUGUUACAGGAUCUCCAAUAUGUUUACCGCAAGAUUAGUUUCAGUAUCACUGCAUUGCAUGGAGGAAGUGUGCUGUGACAGAGCCGCGCGGAUUUCUAAUCUUGUCUGUGCAUAAAUCCUUGCCUUAUCUGGAACCUGCCUUCUCCUGCCAAAAACACUGAACCUUUACGAUUAGAACCGGCCCUCUGCGAAACUAUCCGUGGCCGUGCUGAUAGAGCCGCUGUUGGGUUUUGAAAACAGGAGCUGUUCAUUUUAAAGUGCCAGUCUGCUACAGCUGUCAGACUGAAAAGGUUUGGGUAAUUUUAGAGGUGUCAUCCUCAAUUUCAUAACAUUGUCACUGAUGCGUAUUUUCAGAGUGCUCCUCUAUCUUUUUACACUCCUAGCUGAUUUGGAAUAAAAAUAUAUA